rnacentral:rRNA from 1 species
UACAGAGGUCUCGAGCGUUAGGCGGAAUCACUGGGCUUAAAGCGUGUGUAGGCGGAUCGGUAAGUACCUUGUGAAAUCCCACGGCUUAACCGUGGAACUGCUUGGUAUACUGCCAGUCUUGAGCCAUCUAGGGGCUACCGGAACAAAUGGUGGAGCGGUGAAAUGCGUAGAUAUCGCUUGGAACGCCGAAGGUGAAAACAGGCUGCUGGGGUUGCGCCGACGCUGAGACACGAAAGCCAGGGGAGCAAACGGG